rnacentral:rRNA from 1 species
UAGGGAAUCUUCGGCAAUGGGGGGAACCCUGACCGAGCAACGCCGCGUGAGUGAAGAAGGUUUUCGGAUCGUAAAGCUCUGUUGUUAAGGAAGAACGAGUGUGAGAAUGGAAAGUUCAUGCUGUGACGGUACUUAACCAGAAAGGGACGGCUAACUACGUGCCAGCAGCCGCGGUAAUACGUAGGUCCCGAGCGUUGUCCGGAUUUAUUGGGCGUAAAGCGAGCGCAGGCGGUUAGAAAAGUCUGAAGUGAAAGGCAGUGGCUCAACCAUUGUAGGCUUUGGAAACUGUUUAACUUGAGUGCAGAAGGGGAGGGUGGAAUUCCAUGUGUAGCGGUGAAAUGCGUAGAUAUAUGGAGGAACACAGGUGGCGAAAGCGGCUCUCUGGUCUGUAACUGACGCUGAGGCUCGAAAGCGUGGGGAGCGAACAGG